rnacentral:rRNA from 1 species
UACGUAGGGGGCAAGCGUUGUCCGGAAUUAUUGGGCGUAAAGAGCUCGUAGGCGGUCUGUCGCGUCUGCUGUGAAAUCCCGAGGCUCAACCUCGGGCCUGCAGUGGGUACGGGCAGACUAGAGUGUGGUAGGGGAGACUGGAAUUCCUGGUGUAGCGGUGGAAUGCGCAGAUAUCAGGAGGAACACCGGUGGCGAAGGCGGGUCUCUGGGCAGUAACUGACGCUGAGGAGCGAAAGCAUGGGGAGCGAACAGG